rnacentral:rRNA from 1 species
CCUACGGGGGGCAGCAGUCGAGAAUCAUUCACAAUGGGGGAAACCCUGAUGGUGCGACGCCGCGUGGGGGAAUGCAGGUCUUCGGAUUGUAAACCCCUGUCAUGUGGGAGCAAAUUAAAAAGAUAGUACCACAAGAGGAAGAGACGGCUAACUCUGUGCCAGCAGCCGCGGUAAUACAGAGGUCUCAAGCGUUGUUAGGAAUCACUGGGCGUAAAGCGUGCGUAGGCUGUUUCGUAAGUCGGGUGUGAAAGGCGCGGGCUCAACCCGCGGACGGCACAUGAUACUGCGAGGCUAGAGGAAUGGAGGGGGAACCGGAAUGCUCGGUGUAGCAGUGAAAUGCGUAGAUAUCGAGAGGAACACUCGUGGCGAAGGCGGGUUCCUGGACAUUAACUGACGCUGAGGCACGAAGGCCAGGGGAGCGAAAGGGAUUAGAUACCCGAGUAGUC